rnacentral:rRNA from 1 species
GCCUGAUGCAGCCAGGCCGCGUGUGUGAAGAAGGCCUUCGGGUUGUAAAGCACUUUCAGUCAGGAGGAAAGGUUAGUAGUUAAUACCUGCUAGCUGUGACGUUACUGACAGAAGAAGCACCGGCUAACUCCGUGCCAGCAGCCGCGGUAAUACGGAGGGUGCGAGCGUUAAUCGGAAUUACUGGGCGUAAAGCGUACGCAGGCGGUUUGUUAUGCGAGAUGUGAAAGCCCCGGGCUCAACCUGGGAACUGCAUUUCGAACUGGCAAACUAGAGUGUGAUAGAGGGUGGUAGAAUUUCAGGUGUAGCGGUGAAAUGCGUAGAGAUCUGAAGGAAUACCGAUGGCGAAGGCAGCCACCUGGGUCAACACUGACGCUCAUGUACGAAAGCGUGGGGAGCAAACAGGAUUAGAUACCCUGGUAGUCCACGCCGUAAACGAUGUCUACUAGAAGCUCGGAACCUCGGUUCUGUUUUUCAAAGCUAACGCAUUAAGUAGACCGCCUGGGGAGUACGGCCGCAAGGUUA